rnacentral:rRNA from 1 species
AUUGAACGCUGGCGGAAUGCUUUACACAUGCAAGUCGAACGGCAGCACGGGAGCAAUCCUGGUGGCGAGUGGCGAACGGGUGAGUAAUACAUCGGAACGUGCCCAAUCGUGGGGGAUAACGUAGCGAAAGCUACGCUAAUACCGCAUACGAUCUACGGAUGAAAGCGGGGGAUCGCAAGACCUCGCGCGAAUGGAGCGGCCGAUGGCAGAUUAGGUGGUUGGUGAGGUAAAGGCUCACCAAGCCUGCGAUCUGUAGCUGGUCUGAGAGGACGACCAGCCACACUGGGACUGAGACACGGCCCAGACUCCUACGGGAGGCAGCAGUGGGGAAUUUUGGACAAUGGGCGCAAGCCUGAUCCAGCAAUGCCGCGUGCAGGAUGAAGGCCUUCGGGUUGUAAACUGCUUUUGUACGGAACGAAACGGUCCUUUCUAAUACAAGGGGCUAAUGACGGUACCGUAAGAAAAAGCACCGGCUAACUACGUGCCAGCCGCCGCCGUAA